rnacentral:rRNA from 1 species
UACGUGAGGUGCAAACGUUACCCGGAAUUAUUGGGCGUAAAGCGUCCGUAGGUGGUGAAUUAAGUCAGAUGUUAAAUCUUGGAGCUCAACUUCAAGCUUGCGUCUGAAACUGGUUCGCUUGAGUCUUGGAGGGGUGAGUGGAAUUCUGUAUGUAGGGGUAAAAUCCGUAGAUAUACAGAGGAACACCAAAAGCGAAGGCAGCUCACUGGCCAAGUACUGACACUUAAGGACGAAAGCGUAGGUAGCAAACGGGAUUAGAUACCCCGGUAGU